AACCGUCUGCAAAUCUGCCGGUUUUUAUAUUUCCUUGAACCAAUGCUCAACGAGCAUGGGCUUGAUAAAUCACCUAUUGAGCGUGAUCGUCUCGCGUCAGAUGAACCCAACGAUAGGUUGCUCUUGCCCACCUGAACCCCCGGUUCAGGAUGACGAACCGGUGGCAUUUGCAGACACCUU
rnacentral:sRNA from 1 species